UACGUAGGGUGCGAGCGUUAAUCGGAAUUACUGGGCGUAAAGCGUGCGCAGGCGGCUUUGCAAGACAAAUGUGAAAUCCCCGGGCUCAACCUGGGAACUGCAUUUGUGACUGCAAGGCUAGAGUACGGCAGAGGGGGAUGGAAUUCCGCGUGUAGCAGUGAAAUGCGUAGAUAUGCGGAGGAACACCAAUGGCGAAGGCAAUCCCCUGGGCCUGUACUGACGCUCAUGCACGAAAGCGUGGGGAGCAAACAGG
rnacentral:rRNA from 1 species